rnacentral:rRNA from 1 species
AGAGUUUGAUCCUUGCUCAGGACGAACGCUGGCGGCGUGCUUAACACAUGCAAGUCGAACGGAGUAUGCGAGGAGCUUGCUUUGAGCAUACUUAAGUGACGGACGGGUGAGUAACGCGUGAGGAUCUGUCCUAUACAGGGGGACAACAGAUGGAAACGUCUGCUAAUACCGCAUAAGCCUAAGGGUAAAAGGAGAGAUUCGGUAUAGGAGGAACUCGCGUCCUAUCAGCUAGUAGGUGAGGUAACGGCUCACCUAGGCGAAGACGGGUAGCCGGCCUGAGAGGGCGAACGGCCACACUGGAACUGAGAUACGGUCCAGACUCCUACGGGAGUGCAGCAGUGGGGAAUAUUGGGCAAUGGGGGAAACCCUGACCCAGCGACGUCGCGUGAGUGAAGAAAUCCCUCGGGAUGUAAAGCUCUGUUGUACGGGAAGAGAAGCAGACGGUACCGUACGAGUGAAGCCCCGGCAAACUACGUGCCAGCAGCCGCGGUAAUACGUAGGGGGCAAGCGUUUGUCCGGAAUUACUGGGCGUAAGCGCACGCAGGCGGCCCAUCCAGUCGGUUGUACACAAGGCAGUGGCUCAACUACUGUAAGACGGGCGAUACUGAUGAGCUAGAGUAUGUUGAGAAGGGAAACGGAAUUCCC